GACGAACGCUGGCGGCGUGCUUAACACAUGCAAGUCGAACGGAAAGGCCCUGCUUUUGUGGGGUGCUCGAGUGGCGAACGGGUGAGUAACACGUGAGUAACCUGCCCUUGACUUUGGGAUAACUUCAGGAAACUGGGGCUAAUACCGGAUAGGAGCUCCUGCUGCAUGGUGGGGGUUGGAAAGUUUCGGCGGUUGGGGAUGGACUCGCGGCUUAUCAGCUUGUUGGUGGGGUAGUGGAUUACCAAGGCUUUGACGGGUAGCCGGCCUGGGAGGGUGACCGGCCACAUGGGGACUGAGAUACGGACCAGACGCCUACGGGAGGCAGCAGUGGAGAAUAUUGCACAAUGGGCGGAAGCCUGAUGCAGCAACGCCGCGUGCGGGAUGACGGCCUUCGGGUUGUAAACCGCUUUCGCCGGUGACGAAGCGUGAGUGACGGUAAUGGGUAAAGAAGCACCGGCUAACUACGUG
rnacentral:rRNA from 1 species